CGCCCCUGUUCCUCCUGCGCCCAGCAAGCACCCACGGUCGCCGCGGCGCGACUCGGAGCCUCAGAGAGCACCCGGACGCGCCCUCUGGGAGACCCUGGGCUCCAGCCCUCUCGACUCCAGGUCUUCACCCUUGCACUCCGGGAUGGGGCGGUGGCGGGUCAGGACACAGAGCAGUGACCCGGCUGCGCGUGGGCCCCAGCACCGCUGGUAGAAGGUCGAUCCCGCCCCUCGCGGACCAGGGAGGCACCACUGGUGCGCCAGCUGAGCAAGAUGACUCAGAAAGGGCCACCCCGGCCAGCGGCUGCUCUCCCGGGACCCGACACUUUCGUGAAGCCCACCAAAUGGCGCCCUGCUACCACUGGCCUCCGCAUCCUUGGACGCCAGGUGGCCUCGGACUGUGUCCCAGGCACUGGUACGUUGGGCGAGCGCGGCCGAGGGGAGCGCGGGGCCUAGGGGCGGGGUAGUGCACUAGGACCCAACCGUGUCGUCGGAGCUGUCGCCGCUGCGCCCACGGAGGCGCCUCGGGGAACUGAAACGGCGCCCGGACCUGCCCGGGCGCAAGGGCGGCGCGGAGCGAGCGCGCCCCCUGCCGGUAGGUCCUGCUCAUAGUUCCUGCCCCACCCUUCGAGGAGGAGACCUUCAGAACCAGAGGACCUGGAAGGGAGUCAUCGCACUGGGCCCCUACUAAGACCUCGUAUGAGGUAGGGGCACUGUGACCCUCGUCUGGCUUGGCGGUGACCUUCGCCGACUUGCCUGCCCUGCCCUCAGGCAUAGUCAGAGGCUUCCCAGGUCCUACCCACCACCAGACUUGCCCUGGGCCACCCCCACCAGAAUCUCGGCUCGCCCUGGCACUUGUCACUCAGAAGAAAAGAAAGCCGUGGGUGAGCAAAAGUCCCAUGCAUUAUCAAUUCACUCAUCCAUUCUACAAGCGUUUAUUGAGCGCCCCUCUGAGUUGAUGGACCGGGUCCACACAAAUUUCUUUUCUCCCACGGGUCCUUUGCCCAGAGUGCACUGGCCUGCCGUGCCCCAGCCUGCCCGCUGCUAUUGGCCAAUAUUGGUAUAGAAUACCAGGAGCCGUCUGCCCCUGAACGCAGCCCUUGGCUCGCAAGGCUGUGACUGGAGGCCACCUGGCAAGGGGGGGGGGGGCGUUGGAGAAAGGGCUGGGCUCUCAAAGAAUCUUUUGUUUCUCUAGGAGGAACUGGAGCUGCAGGCCAGAGGUUAUGGUGUAAUCCACAGGAGGAGGGGGGUAAAUUUAUGAUUCCACAUGAAACACCCACCCUCUGCCCCCGGGCAUACAGACCCAGCCCGUGGCCAUCCAUCUCCCGGCUCCACAUGUGAGGGGAUCUCAGAAUCACUGCAUCUAUAUCACCUGCCUGCUGUGGCUCUCCUGUGCCCUCAUCCAACAAGGAGACAGGCUAGGUUCCGCAGACAGAGAAAGGUUAAGUGUUCCACCCAAGGUUGCAGUGAGCAGAGGCUGCCAAGGCCGGACAAGUGAGCCAGCAGCACCCCGCCCCCCCACCCCGCCCACACAGGCCAGUGACCCCCCACCUGCCUGUGGCUGGGGAUCAAAUGAGGGGCAGAGUCCCAUCACUGAGGAAUGACAGGCUGAACAGGCCAGGGACACUGGGGCCCCACUGUCCUCCUCCCUCCCCAGCCACUCCAGCCUUAUCGGAACACCUUUGCCCUCACACUUCUGGGGCCUGCUCCUCUCUCCUCCCCACGUAAGGGCACUCCCAGCUGCUGAGUGAGUCUAUUCCAAUUAUGCAUUCAGAACUGGGGAAAUAACUACAGGAUGGGUUUCGAGACCCAUUGGGCCCACUGUGAGAUGGACGUGAGCUAAAGCUCCACUGAUCGCCUGACCUCCACAAGCCCCUACUCUGACACAGUGACACUUGUGUCUCCUGGAUGUUUAGAGCCAGUGUCCAGAAGUCCCUGAAAUGUCUGAUUAUUCCCUUUUCCCCAAUACGGGCCCCUUUAACAAAGGCUGGGAGAAAGAUUAAUGGUAUACAUUUUGGCAGUGUACCGAGGUUCUUCCUUAAGGGGUCCCGGCCUCCCCUUCAUUCAAGGGGUUCUGGGUCUGUAAACUGGUUCAAGUGUGGGUAUUGAUUCAGGGGUCAUGACUGCUUUUACGAUUCAAGUUAGACUUGUGUUUACUUGACCUAGAAUUCUGCUUAUCCAGAUCAAGUAAGAAUUCAGUGGGCUUUCCAUCUAUUUCACUUCUAGUUGACUACUUCUAGUUUCAACUUCUAGUCAUGAUCUAGUCAACGCCAUAGGUCAGCAGGAGUCGGACUCUCCUGAUUGCUGCUUUGAUUCUGCUGUCCACUACGGUAACCACACCCACCUUGAAUUUGGUGAUACAAUGACCUCCAUUGCAUUUAGGCUUGGGGGGGAUCCAUGGUAGCAGUUCUCAUGUAAGUUCUGACCUACACAGAAGAGUGAUCCCAGAGCUCUUAUAGGAUGCUGGGGCUCCCCUCACAAAUUUAUUCCACACGAUGGUGGUGAAAGGUGUGUCCUCCGGACCCUCCCAGGAUGGAUGAGCAAGUCUUACAUGACAAAUCCACUCUAACAUUCUAAUCUCCCAAAGCCUUUGGAUCCCUUUCUCUACUAAACCAAGGCAGGUCUGGCAUUUCAAUUCCAUUUAGUGUGGGGCACCUUUUGGUCCGUGUGUCAACCAGCUAAACAAACUGUUAGAACCUUUUCUAAACCCAUGAGCUUCAACAUGAAAUCCAGAAUCUCUGCUUAGUGAGCCCCUAUCAAUAA
rnacentral:lncRNA from 1 species